rnacentral:rRNA from 1 species
CGCCUGUUUAACAAAAACAUGUCUUUUUGAUAAUAAUUUAAAGUCGGGCCUGCCCAAUGAUUUUUUGAAUGGCCGCGGUAUUUUGACCGUGCAAAGGUAGCAUAAUCACUAGUCUAUUAAUUAUAGGCUUGAAUGAAUGGUUUAAUGAGAAAUUAGCUGUCUCUUAUCAAUUUAUUGAAUUUUAUUUUUAAGUAAAAAAGCUUAAAUUUUAUUGGAAGACGAGAAGACCCUAUAGAGUUUUAUAUUUUAUGUUUUUUAAUUUUUAUUUUAAAUUACAUAUUAUAUUUUGUUGGGGUGACGGAAAAAUUUAUUAAACUUUUUUUUUAUUUUUAUAUAUUUAAAUAGGUUUUUGAUCCAUUAUUAAUGAUUAAAAGAUUAAAUUACCUUAGGGAUAACAGCGUUAUUUAUUUAAAGAGUUCAAAUCGAAAAAUAAGUUUGCGACCUCGAUGUUGGAUUAA